rnacentral:rRNA from 1 species
AGUGAACGCUGGCGGUAGGCCUAACACAUGCAAGUCGAACGGCAGCACAGUAAGAGCUUGCUCUUACGGGUGGCGAGUGGCGGACGGGUGAGGAAUACAUCGGAAUCUACUUUUUCGUGGGGGAUAACGUAGGGAAACUUACGCUAAUACCGCAUACGACCUACGGGUGAAAGCAGGGGAUCUUCGGACCUUGCGCGAUUGAAUGAGCCGAUGUCGGAUUAGCUAGUUGGCGGGGUAAAGGCCCACCAAGGCGACGAUCCGUAGCUGGUCUGAGAGGAUGAUCAGCCACACGGGAACUGAGACAGGGUCAAGACGCCUACGGGAGGCAGCAGUGGGGAAUAUUGGACAAUGGGCGCAAGCCUGAUCCAGCCAUACCGCGUGGGUGAAGAAGGCCUUCGGGUUGUAAAGCCCUUUUGUUGGGAAAGAAAAGCAGCAGGUUAAUACCCCGCUGUUCUGACGGUACCCAAAGAAUAAGCACCGGCUAACUUCGUG